UACCUCAAAUCAGGCAGGAAUACCCGCUGAACUUAA
rnacentral:rRNA from 1 species